AUGUCCUUAAGUGCCCUGGAGCUUCUGACAGACGAGGAAGGCUUUGCGUGGUUAUAUGGGCGCUGCACGGGGAAGGAGAGGAAAGCAAAGACUGUGCUCAGCUCCCUGACCCAGCCCAAGGUCCACAAGAGGGAAACGCCUGCACACCAGCUCUGCGAUCCAGACACGGCCAGAGUCAAGCACGUAGGCUCGAGAACUGACACCCGGCGAGGGAGCAGGCAAGGGACAGGCAUGGGUGGAGGUGGCCGCCAAACGUCAGUGAUUCAGAGCGAUUUGCCAAGUCAUUGGAAGUUCUCACGAUUCCAGGACCUAAAACAAAGAAUCGGAUGGGCUAAAAUUAAAGGGUGCAGAAGCUAAGAAUUUUACCCAGCCCAUACAGGCAACAGAGGGAGUAGGGUAUGAGAAAGCAUCCUGCUAGAACUUUGUCCCAAAGGGCUUUGUUUCCCAUGCGGUUCAGAAUUGCAUUCACCCUCCCAGCUCCCCAGGAAGACGUCCCAGGCUGGUCUGGGAGACAUCAAGAGACAGGACAGGUAAAGAGCCCAUUCCAAAGGGUAAUCACUCCGGUAAAAGCCCACGUCAAACUUGUUAUGUCUGUUUCUAACUUAGACCUAUUAAAGCUCAUUACAAACUUUUCUGAUAGCUCAAGAUAACUUACACUCACUUUCCCUAUUGCAAACGGAACAGGGCUGCCUGUCCCCACACCUCCUGCUCAGGAGCGUCAUACAAAUUAGAUAAUAGAUGCUCGAAACAUCUUUAUUAUUAUUCAAAACGUCUAUUAAAACUGAACCUUGUCUCUCUAGUUAGCAGUACGUCUACUAUGUAUUCACUGUAGUUAGCAUUACUCCUACUAUACAUUCACUAUUAAUACAAACAGUAUUUGCCUUUGAGUGUAACAUUUUUCCCCCCAUGAAGUACAGAAGUUGCUGAAUUUAUUGUUAUAAUUAGACUCAAAACGCAAGGAGCACAAAGAGACAAAAUGACUUGCCCAAAUUUACGUGAGGCAGCCCUGGCAGAGAACAAACUCCUCUUCCCAGUAGAUCACUGCCCUAAUCAAUGAACCCUUCUUCCUCCAUUAAUCUCCCAAAUGACAUGAAAAAAUAUUAAUUACCAAAUUAAUUAGCUUGUGUUUUUUCCUUGUUCACCAAUUACGUGUACAUUCAUUAACUUUGUUCCCUACCACCUCGUUACUUCAAGUGGUAGGAAUGCCCAGGUGUUAAGAGAACCUGUGCAGACCUGAACUGCCUCAAGUCCAGACGCUGCCGCGGUGCAUGGGACACGCGGGUCCUUAGCUGGACCCAAAACACAAAUCCCAUCUCAUCCUGCACCCGUACCAGGCAGCACAGCGUGCCCAAGAGCU
rnacentral:lncRNA from 1 species